AGAUUAGAUACCCUGGUAGUCCACGCCGUAAACGAUGAUAACUAGAUGUAGGAGGUAUUGACCCCUUCUGUAUCGCAGCUAACGCAUUAAGUUAUCCGCCUGGGGAGUACGGUCGCAAGAUUAAAACUCAAAGGAAUUGACGGGGGCCCGCACAAGCGGUGGAGUAUGUGGUUUAAUUCGACGCAACACGAAGAACCUUACCUGGGUUAGAAAUCAACUAGACGGUUUCCAGAGAUGGAUUCCUUCCCUCACGGGACUGGUUGACAGGUGCUGCAUGGCUGUCGUCAGCUCGUGUCG
rnacentral:rRNA from 1 species